AACGAACGCUGGCGGCAGGCCUAACACAUGCAAGUCGAGCGAGGACUUCGGUUCUAGCGGCGGACGGGUGAGUAACGCGUGGGAAUGUGCCCUUCUCUACGGAAUAGCCCUGGGAAACUGGGAGUAAUACCGUAUACGCCCUAUUGGGGAAAGAUUUAUCGGAGAAGGAUCAGCCCGCGUUGGAUUAGGUAGUUGGUGGGGUAAUGGCCUACCAAGCCGACGAUCCAUAGCUGGUUUGAGAGGAUGAUCAGCCACACUGGGACUGAGACACGGCCCAGACUCCGACGGGAGGCAGCAGUGGGGAAUCUUAGACAAUGGGGGCAACCCUGAUCUAGCCAUGCCGCGUGAGUGAUGAAGGCCUUAGGGUUGUAAAGCUCUUUCAGCUGGGAAGAUAAUGACGGUACCAGCAGAAGAAGCCCCGGCGAACUCCGU
rnacentral:rRNA from 1 species